rnacentral:lncRNA from 1 species
CGGGCAUGGCCGAGUGCAUCCCCGCCUACCCAGGAACUCAGGGUUCGCCCAGGAGUCAGGCACACACAGCGGGCCCCUCGCCCCUUCCGACCCCUGCUCAGGAGUCGCCUGGACUGCAAGUCCGUCCGGCUGCUCUCACGAGCUACUUGGUUUCUGUCCCCUUCCCUGCUAGGAUGCGAGCCUCACGAGGACAGCGACCUUUUUCCCGGUCACUGCUGUAUGCACCGCACCCACGACACUGCCUGGCCGUGUAGAAGGCACCAUGGUCUCUAUUUAUUGAACCAAUGAGCGGAACAGUUGCAGUCCCAGCCAGUUUCGGCGAAUCGAUGUUCCUGCGUCCUCCGCCACAGCCCUCAUCCUGCAGUCUUUCCCACGCCUACGUAUGCAGAGCCGCUCAGGGCCUAGGCCGCACGCUCGAGUGCAGUGAUGGCCCUGGUGUCCCACCCCAGUGCACGUGCCACGGGCUCCGGGCGUCCCGCCCCCCCGGAGGAAGGGGGUCCUCGGUCCCCGCCAGCCAGCCAGGGAUACGGCUCCGACUUCCGUGUUCCAGCUGCUUUCUGCGGCCAGCCAACUGGUGCAGAAUUCACCUUCGGCGGCAGAAUCGCACAGGGAUUCCUCUCCUGCGGUCCCCACAUGAGUAACACAUCGUGGACCCUGUUUAUGGACAGCCGCCCUUUCUCUUGUUGUUCCCCAGGCUCCUGAGUCAGUGCAGGCAGGUCUGUGCCAUUGCUUGGUCCUGGUCCCUCCUCUUCACCGUGCCGC